UAAUACGUAGGAGGCGAGCGUUGUCCGGAAUUACUGGGCGUAAAGCGCACGUAGGCGGCUUUGCAAGUUAGAGGUGAAAGCCCAGGGCUCAACCCUGGAAUUGCCUUUAAAACUGCAUCGCUAGAAUUGUGGAGAGGUAAGUGGAAUUCCGAGUGUAGAGGUGAAAUUCGUAGAUAUUCGGAAGAACACCAGUGGCGAAGGCGACUUACUGGACACAUAUUGACGCUGAGGUGCGAAAGCGUGGGGAGCAAACA
rnacentral:rRNA from 1 species